GGGCGUAAGGGCUCGCAGGCGGUUUCUUAAGUCUGAUGUGAAAGCCCCCGGCUCAACCGGGGAGGGUCAUUGGAAACUGGGAAACUUGAGUGCAGAAGAGGAGAGUGGAAUUCCACGUGUAGCGGUGAAAUGCGUAGAGAUGUGGAGGAACACCAGUGGCGAAGGCGACUCUCUGGUCUGUAACUGACGCUGAGGAGCGAAAGCGUGGGGAGCGAACAGGAUUAGAUACCCUGGUAGUCCACGCCGUAAACGAUGAGUGCUAAGUGUUAGGGGGUUUCCGCCCCUUAGUGCUGCAGCUAACGCAUUAAGCACUCCGCCUGGGGAGUACGGUCGCAAGACUGAAACUCAAAGGAAUUGACGGGGGCCCGCACAAGCGGUGGAGCAUGUGGUUUAAUUCGAAGCAACGCGAAGAACCUUACCAGGUCUUGACAUCCUCUGACAACCCUAGAGAUAGGGCUUUCCCUUCGGGGACAGAGUGACAGGUGGUGCAUGGUUGUCGUCAGCUCGUGUCGUGAGAUGUUGGGUUAAGUCCCGCAACGAGCGCAACCCUUGAUCUUAGUUGCCAGCAUUCAGUUGGGCACUCUAAGGUGACUGCCGGUGACAAACCGGAGGAAGGUGGGGAUGAC
rnacentral:rRNA from 1 species